rnacentral:rRNA from 1 species
UACGUAGGGCGCAAGCGUUGUCCGGAAUUAUUGGGCGUAAAGAGCUCGUAGGUGGUUUGUCGCGUCUGUUGUGAAAGCCCGGGGCUUAACUCCGGGUUUGCAGUGGAUACGGGCGGGCUAGAGGCAGGUAGGGGAGAACGGAAUUCCCGGUGUAGCGGUGAAAUGCGCAGAUAUCGGGAGGAACACCGGUGGCGAAGGCGGUUCUCUGGGCCUGUACUGACGCUGAGGAGCGAAAGCGUGGGGAGCGAACAGG